GAAUUUUGGGCAAUGGGCGAAAGCCUGACCCAGCAACGCCGCGUGAAGGACGAAAUCCCUCUGGGAUGUAAACUUCGAAAGUCGGGAAAGAAAUCGCCGCGGACAAUACCCGCGGUGGAUGACGGUACCCGACGUAAGCCCCGGCCAACUCCGUGCCAGAAGCCGCGGUAAUGCGUCGGGGGCAAGCGUUGUUCGGAAUUACUGGGCGUAAAGGGCGCGUAGGCGGCACAGCAAGUCGGGAGUGAAAGCCCGGGGCUCAACCCCGGAACGGCUUUCGAAACUGCUGAGCUAGAGUGCGGAAGGGGCAACCGGAAUUCCCAGUGUAGCGGUGAAAUGCGUAGAUAUUGGGAAGAACACCUGAGGCGAAGGCGGGUUGCUGGGCCGACACUGGCGCUGAGGCGCGAAAGCCAGGGGAGCAAACGGG
rnacentral:rRNA from 1 species